AACGAACGCUGGCGGCGUGGAUAAGACAUGCAAGUCGAACGGGAUUAUUUUUGUAGCAAUACAGAAAUAAUUCAGUGGCGAACGGGUGCGUAACACGUGGGCAAUCUGCCGAAAAGUGGGGGAUAGCUCGCCGAAAGGCGAAUUAAUACCGCAUGUGGUGAGGGACGACAUCUUCCUGAAUCCAAAGCCGGGGCAACCUGGCGCUUUUGAGGAGCCCGCGGCCUAUCAGCUAGUUGGCGGGGUAACGGCCCACCAAGGCUAUGACGGGUAGCUGGUCUGAGAGGACGACCAGUCACACUGGAACUGAGACACGGUCCAGACACCUACGGGUGGCAGCAGUCGAGAAUUUUUCUCAAUGGGGGAAACCCUGAAGGAGCGACGCCGCGUGGAGGAUGAAGGC
rnacentral:rRNA from 1 species